UGUUCAAGGUCAACCAGUUGGCAGUGACCGAUAUGGGAUUUGAACCAUCAGGAUGCCAAUGCUUGCCCUCUUAAUCCCUGAGUGGCUCAACGUAAUGGGCUAAACGUCGUCUUCAGUCCGUGCGCUUCAUCCUCAAAGCCUGCAUUUUAUUCUCAGCAUGUUCCCAGUCCUUCUCCCGGGAACUGGAGGAACUCACGCAGAGGCUCGCCCGCAGAUGAGCUCCCUGGCGGCGGGCCGGACUGCGGGUAGGGGCGGGCACCCAGCCGCCUCUGCGCAGGCCUCCUUCACCCACGUGAGGGGUCGGCGCGCGGGCGCCUGGAGUCGUGGAGCGCGGCCGCAGUGCGGUGGGCACUGAGCUAGAAAGGGGCGGAAAGAGACAGCGAGAAUCCAUUCCAAAUGAGCAGCCAAGAGGAGACGCGGCAGCUCCCAGAUGUUGAUGUUUUGUUUUUUGACAUAAAUCUUUGCAC